GAUUAGCUGACACUUAUAAUACUUUCUUAGGACAUAUUUUGUAAUAUGGACUUAUAAUUAAUAAAUUAAAUUUAUUUUCAUUCAAAUUUGUGUUGUUAAGUGUCCUGAAUCGUCCAUUGAGUUAAUGGGUAUAAUGAUAUAUAUUCUCAAGAGUUGAGAAUUUGAGACAUGUGUCAUUAUAAUUAAUUCAUAAAUUACUUCUGAUCAUAGGAUCAUCACAGGGAUGGUGUUUGAUCCAGAG
rnacentral:lncRNA from 1 species